GACGGAGGAUGCAAGCGUUAUCCGGAAUGAUUGGGCGUAAAGCGUCCGCAGGUGGCAGUUCAAGUCUGCUGUCAAAGACCGGGGCUUAACUUCGGAAAGGCAGUGGAAACUGAACAGCUAGAGUAUGGUAGGGGCAGAGGGAAUUCCUGGUGUAGCGGUGAAAUGCGUAGAGAUCAGGAAGAACAUCGGUGGCGAAGGCGCUCUGCUGGACCAUAACUGACACUCAGGGACGAAAGCUAGGGGAGCGAACAGG
rnacentral:rRNA from 1 species